rnacentral:rRNA from 1 species
GAUGAACGCUAGUGGCAGGCUUAAUACAUGCAAGUCGUGGGGCAGCAUGAGUAGCAAUACUUGAUGGCGACCGGCAAACGGGUGCGGAACACGUACACAACCUUCCGAUAAGUGGGGAAUAGCCCAGAGAAAUUUGGAUUAAUACCCCGUAACAUAUAGAGUAGGCAUCUUCUUUAUAUUAUAGCUUCGGCGCUUAUUGAUGGGUGUGCGUCUGAUUAGGUAGUUGGCGGGGUAACGGCCCACCAAGCCUACGAUCAGUAGCUGAUGUGAGAGCAUGAUCGGCCACACGGGCACUGAGACACGGGCCCGACUCCUACGGGAGGCAGCAGUAAGGAAUAUUGGACAAUGGGCGAAAGCCUGAUCCAGCCAUGCCGCGUGAAGGAUUAAGGUCCUCUGGAUUGUAAACUUCUUUUAUUUGGGACGAAAAAAGGGAAUUCUUUCCCACUUGACGGUACCAAGUGAAUAAGCACCGGCUAACUCCGUGCCAGCAGCCGCAGUAAUAC